rnacentral:lncRNA from 1 species
GAAUGAGCUUACAAUUCAUUGAAUUUUGAAAGUGCAUCAGUUUAACCUGAUUUAGUCUCUAGGUUGAUGAUGAAGCUUUAUGAGUACUCAAAACGGAAAUGAGUUAGUGUAUGUCCUGCAAACAGCACCCCCCCACACACCCCCACGUUACAAAUGUUCACCUCAUUUCUCCUAGGAAGGCCAGCAUUGUUAGGUUCAGCAUCCUUCUGAAUGGACAGUCCCCAUAGGACCAGUCGGUUCUCUAUCUUGAAUCAUCUCCCAGCUUAUAGUCAAAGAAUUCACUGUGUUCAUAUAAUUAAAGAAAUAGUAGUUCAAAUAAGAGGGAGUUUACUAUAAUAAAAUGUUUUACAUCAUAGAAUUAGAAUAAGUAUAAGAGAAGACAUUUUACCAAAGGAUAUAUUUCCAAGUGAACACCCAAAUCCUGUACAUAAGAGAAAAGUAGGGGUAGCAGAGGGGACUCAUUGAUGGUUUUUUAAGGCAAUAAGCUAUAUAACAUCAUUUCAAAAAAUUUUAGGGCUGUGAUUAUAACUCAGUGAUAGAGUACCUGCCUAAUAAUCACAAAUCCUGGGCUCAAAUCCUCAGUACUACCCCCCACACACAAAAAAAAAAAAAAUCCUAGGGCCGAUUAAAACUUGUGAUACUCCUGCUGCACCACCACACCCAGCCUAGAACCAUUUAAAAAA